UACGUAGGGUGCAAGCGUUAAUCGGAAUUACUGGGCGUAAAGCGUGCGCAGGCGGUUGUGCAAGACAGAUGUGAAAUCCCCGGGCUUAACCUGGGAACUGCAUUUGUGACUGCACGGCUAGAGUGUGUCAGAGGGGGGUAGAAUUCCACGUGUAGCAGUGAAAUGCGUAGAGAUGUGGAGGAACACCGAUGGCGAAGGCAGCCCCCUGGGCCGACACUGACGCUCAGGCACGAAAGCGUGGGGAGCAAACAGG
rnacentral:rRNA from 1 species